GUGCAAGUGCGACAUACUGUGAUUCAGAGACAUUGUUAUGUGUUAUUCAGAUGCUGUACUUUAUUCAAUUAAUGUUGACAAGAAGCCAACUGGAGCUACGAAAGAAGAGGAAUGGAAAUUUUCACCAUGGAAUGGCAGCAGUAAAGCAGAUUAAACAACGGUACCAGAACUGCUACAAAUUCGUCGGGCAAUACACCGCGCCGCUCGAACUGUCAACACAACUGGCACUGCUAAGAGUAUCCUACAACUUCCACAUCGCUGGCAACAGGUUAUACACAAUGCUGGUGACUACUUUGAAGG